GAUGAAGAACGUAGCGAAAUGCGAUAAGUAGUGUGAAUUGCAGAAUUCAGUGAAUCAUCGAAUCUUUGAACGCACAUUGCGCCCCAUGGUAUUCCGUGGGGCAUGCCUGUUCGAGCGUCAUUUACCCCCUCAAGCUCCGCUUGGUGUUGGGCGUCUGUCCCGCUUCGCGCGCGGACUCGCCCCAAAGGUAUUGGCAGCGGUCGUGCCAGCUUCUCGCGCAGCACAUUGCGCUUCUCGAGGCACCGGUGGGCCCGCGUCCAUCAAGCUCACCCCCCCAGUUUGACCUCGGAUCAGGUAGGGAUACCCGCUGAACUUAAGCAUAUCAUAGCGGAGGA
rnacentral:misc_RNA from 1 species